rnacentral:rRNA from 1 species
AAAGCUCAAAUUUUGAAUCUGGCGGUCGCGAGGCCGUCCGAGUUGUAAUCUAGAGAAGCGUCUUCCGCGCUGGACCGUGUACAAGUCUCCUGGAAGGGAGCGUCAUAGAGGGUGAGAAUCCCGUCUUUGACACGGACUGCCAGGGCUAUGUGAUGCGCUCUCGACGAGUCGAGUUGUUUGGGAAUGCAGCUCAAAAUGGGUGGUAAAUUCCAUCUAAAGCUAAAUACAGGCGAGAGACCGAUAGCGAA